UUGAACGCUGGCGGCAUGCCUUACACAUGCAAGUCGAACGGUAGAGGGGCAACCCUUGAGAGUGGCGAACGGGUGAGUAAUAUAUCGGAACGUGCCCAGUCGUGGGGGAUAACGCAGCGAAAGCUGCGCUAAUACCGCAUACGAUCUAUGGAUGAAAGCGGGGGAUCGCAAGACCUCGCGCGAUUGGAGCGGCCGAUAUCAGAUUAGGUAGUUGGUGGGGUAAAAGGCCCACCAA
rnacentral:rRNA from 1 species